GUGAAGAUGGACAGCCCGGAAUGACUAACCCUCCCACCGGACGGUCCCUGCAGCAUAGAUGGCCCGGACCAGCUCACCCUUCCUUCCCACCGAGGGGAGAUGCCCAUUCAAUAUCUUCACGGCUGCUGCGUUCCCCUCUGAUCUCUGGGCCGCUCACAUAUAUUAACAUGAUGGAUAGCUUUCCAGGUGUGAAAGCUCUCCAAUGAGGCUAAAGGUGUAUUUGUGGCUAAACAUACAGGCAACCUCUGAAGUCAUAGCUGGUGGUAGGGAGUCAGAGACAAAGAAAAGGAGGCUGAAGGCGGACAUGCCCGUCAAGCUAGAUGAUGUCCAGCAUACCGCUUCUUCUACCGUUAUCCCAAAGGAUCACAAGUAUACGGGUUUAUUGUAUUAAAGUUUACAAGUUGUUUACGUAUGCAUAUGUUUUAUUAAAAUCUGUCUUGGGCUAUGAAGGUGCUGUGAAAAUUCAAACAGA